UUGGUUGGGUGUUAGUGGUGGCAGGUGUGUGUUGUUGGUGAGGUGAGCAGUCAGGUCGCUGGUGUCGUCCUUCCUUGGUGCUUGAUGCUUGUGUUGGAACCACACUCUGUUCUUGAGUAGCGUCGACCUCUAUGUGUGUGGUGGAAGGCGCUACCGUGGUCUGAGUGAUCGCCGGCUGAUAACUGGUCGUGAGGGGCACCAGGCAGGGACGGCCUUGCCAGAUCGAUAGCGGCGAGCCUAGAGCUGUGUCAGGUGGUGUAUGGACGCCUGCCUUGCAGCCGCGCCGCCUCGGGCCUGCCUGCCUGCACCACCUGAUAAAGGCACACAUCUCCUGUGCGAGACGCCCUGCAGCACCUCCUGACGCCUCAACGCGGCGUGGAGGCUCACGUUUGUUUUUUCCCACUCACCUGAGGGAGAAAUUCCCACAAUUCUGGCAACCCAACAGAAAGCGGCACGGCAGCCAAUGGGCGGCAGAGGUUGUGGCGCGAUGGUGACGUCAUUAAUAUGGUGUCACACGAGGAUGCCGCCCCAGUAUCUGCGUGGAGGGCGACGCUCCAACAACACUCAGCCGUCACGCCAUACGUACGCUCACGCCGCAGUCCCGUUAGCCGCGCCACCUCCGGCGGGCGUGGUCGGUCCGCCGCUAGGUCUGGCCAGGGGAGGGGGACACCAAUGACGCCGCCCAAGAAUGCAUAUUGAUCGGCAAGGUGAAGGAGGAGGUCAGCAGGCCCAGGGCGGCUCGGCACGGGUGUGGGUGUGGGUGAGGGUGCGGUGAGUCUUCGUCAGUCUGCCUGCCGUGCCCCCACUGCCCGCCGCGACGCCUGACCUUGACCAGCCAGGAGAGAGUCCUUAGCUCUCGCCGCCACUGCCUGCCCGAGGUCAGCCUGCUGCUGCAUCUCUCACUGCCUCUCCUCCUACUGAUAAUUCUGCUCCAGUUAACAGCAGCAGCAGCAUUGCAACAACAGCAGAAGCUGCAUGGCAGCAGCAGCACCACCACCACCACCAGUAGUUGUAGUAGUAGUAGUAGUAGUAAUAAUAAUAAUAAUAAUAAAAAUAAUGACCAUUAACAUACGAAAUCAUCACUACAUAACGAAAACUCUGCGUAUUCGCACAAUAUCAGAGACCUAAAUCUCUGCCAUUAUAGGAACAAGCUGAACACACAACCACCAACACAACCACCACCUCACCUCCGCGCCGCUGCCGCCGAUACCAGACCAGCAAAAUCAUCCAUGCGACAAGUACAGCUACGAGGCAAUAAUAGCACAGGUGACCAAUGUACACCGGGUAAGAAGAGUACAGAGUAAAGCCUUCAACUUUACCACACCUUAAGAGUUUCCAAUGAGCGCUUAGGCUUGCGUUCAGGAGUGAAUGGGUGACAGCUUCAGCCCGUAAGGAAGAUCAUGCAUUCUAGAGCUUGUAAUCUGUACCUGUAUGCCUAUAACUCUGCAUCCUAUACUUUUGUAUGUGUAAAUUUCCCUGUAACUUGUACCUGUAUAUCUAUAUCUGUUUGUAACCUGUGCCUAUGUACCUGUAAAUUUGACUAACACGUAGUACCUGCAUA